CAUCAUUUUGAGCAGAGUUAUUUUCUUGCACACAAGAUUACUGCUCAGACUACCGGUGACGGUGGUAACACUGUGAAGCGGUUGGACCAUAGUGUUUGCUUGCAAACGAGUUCCUUUCUUGCACAAGUGUCGUGUCAACUGUGCAACAGCGGCAAUCAAGUAGCGUCCCAGCCACUACAGUUGCGUUUGCUAUUGCACUGGCCAGUAGCACGUUGUCCUGUAUUAAUAUGAACUGC